GCUGGGUGUGGUGGUGCAUGCCUGUAAUCCCAGCAGCUUGGGAGGCUGAGGCAUGAGGAUUGUGAGUUUGAGGCCAGCCUUAACAACUUAGUGAGGCCCUAGGUAACCCAGUGAGACCCUGUCUCUA
rnacentral:sRNA from 1 species